GGAAGGGUUACUUCGACUUCUAAUCGGCUUGUCGUUGGUUCGAGUCCAACUUCCUCCA
rnacentral:tRNA from 1 species